rnacentral:rRNA from 1 species
GACGAACGCUGGCGGCGUGCUUAACACAUGCAAGUCGAACGGAAAGGCCCUGCUUUUGUGGGGUGCUCGAGUGGCGAACGGGUGAGUAACACGUGAGUAACCUGCCCUUGACUUUGGGAUAACUUCAGGAAACUGGGGCUAAUACCGGAUAGGAGCUCCUGCUGCAUGGUGGGGGUUGGAAAGUUUCGGCGGUUGGGGAUGGACUCGCGGCUUAUCAGCUUGUUGGUGGGGUAGUGGCUUACCAAGGCUUUGACGGGUAGCCGGCCUGAGAGGGUGAUCGGCCACAUUGGGACUGAGAUACGGCCCAGACUCCUACGGGAGGCAGCAGUGGGGAAUAUUGCACAAUGGGCGGAAGCCUGAUGCAGCAACGCCGCGUGCGGGAUGACGGCCUUCGGGUUGUAAACCGCUUUCGCCUGUGACGAAGCGGGAGUGACGGUAAUGGGUAAAGAAGCACCGGCUAACUACGUG